AGUGGAAAUUUGGUAUUUUCGGCGUGUUUCAUACUACUGCAAAUUUCGCAAGUGUCGGUUUUGGGAUGGUUUGCAAAUGACAUCAGAAUGCAGGUGCAAAGAAACAGUUUUCAAUGGCUAAGAAAUUCUAUGAUAUUUUCUCGUAGAGUCAAGCUACAGCUGAUGUAUUUUAGAAUAUGAAUUGGCAUUAAAUUAUUUAUUAUAUCUAGACGUCAAAAAUAAGAAAAUGUUCCUUAUGAUGCUUACGCAAUAUCAGCAUAUUUCAGUCAUUUCUAUUGGACCUUUCGGACCGAUGACUAUUGACACCGUUAUAUCAGUUAUCACAGCUGCUUACUCUUACUUAAGUACAUUUGAUCCUGGACACCUAAUGCCUAGUGGUUUAUGGUAAUGUAACCCAAUAGUAAUUUGAUGUUUAAAAUAGCAAUUCGAGCAAACAGAGAUAGGCCUCAGUAAAUUUAGCAGUUGGCUCAGUGAUGGGUUCUCUUAGUUGAUGCUGAUGAAGUCAUUCAACUAGUUAAGUACAUUUGAUCCUGGACACCUACUAAAUAUUAGUUGGAAUGUACUUUAAUUAUCGCAAUUAACUUUGAUUAGACGCCUAGUUGUUUAUGGUAAUGUUACCCUUAGAUAAAGCUGAAUAAAACUAGAACCAGCAAUAGUAAUUUGAUGUUUAAAAUAGCAAUUCGAGCAA